rnacentral:lncRNA from 1 species
CAUUUGAAUGGAAUCUGAGAUUGAGGAGAAAUACUUGACCCUACUUACUUAUGCUCUACAUUCUAUUCUUUAAGCCCAUUUUUCAUUUUUGUAAUAAUAUAAAGUUUAUUUCCCAUUACGUAUAAUUUAAAGAUGUAAUUCUAUCUUUGGAUAGAGGAAGGAGAGAGGAAUCUUAUUGUGCUAAUAGUUUUUCAUGAAGUUUUCCAUUUAAAAUUGUAAUGUUAGAAUAUUGAAAAUAGGACUUAUUAAUAUUUAAGUAUAAGAAGAAAUUAGUUGUUUAUAU